rnacentral:rRNA from 1 species
CAGCAGCCACGGGAAUACGGAGGGGGCUAGCGUUGUUCGGAAUUACUGGGCGUAAAGCGCACGUAGGCGGCUUGGUAAGUUAGAGGUGAAAGCCCGGAGCUCAACUCCGGAAUUGCCUUUAAGACUGCCGAGCUAGUAGGUGAGAGAGGUAAGUGGAAUUCCGAGUGUAGAGGUGAAAUUCGUAGAUAUUCGGAAGAACACCAGUGGCGAAGGCGACUGACUGGACAAGUAUUGACGCUGAGGUGCGAAAGCGUGGGGAGCAAACAGGAUUAGAUACCCGCGUAGUCCCUGUCUCUUAUAA